rnacentral:rRNA from 1 species
GGGGAAUAUUGGACAAUGGGGGGAACCCUGAUCCAGCCAUGCCGCGUGUGUGAAGAAGGCCUUAUGGUUGUAAAGCACUUUAAGCGAGGAGGAGGCUACUUUGGUUAAUACCUAAAGAUAGUGGACGUUACUCGCAAAAUAAGCACCGGCUAACUCUGUGCCAGCAGCCGCGGUAAUACGGAGGGUGCGAGCGUUAAUCGGAUUUACUGGGCGUAAAGCGUACGUAGGCGGCUUUUUAAGUCGGAUGUGAAAUCCCCGAGCUUAACUUGGGAAUUGCAUUCGAUACUGGGAAGCUAGAGUAUGGGAGAGGAUGGUAGAAUUCCAGGUGUAGCGGUGAAAUGCGUAGAGAUCUGGAGGAAUACCGAUGGCGAAGGCAGCCAUCUGGCCUAAUACUGACGCUGAGGGACGAAAGCAUGGGGAGCAAAC